GCGCGUGGCUUAGUGGUUAGGGCAUUUGGCUCACAAUCGUAAAGUCGUGAGUUCGAUUCUCAUCGACGCA
rnacentral:tRNA from 1 species